rnacentral:rRNA from 1 species
UACGUAGGUGGCAAGCGUUGUCCGGAAUUAUCGGGCGUAAAGCGCGCGCAGGCGGUCCUUUAAGUCUGAUGUGAAAGCCCACGGCUCAACCGUGGAGGGUCAUUGGAAACUGGGGGACUUGAGUACAGAAGAGAAGAGUGGAAUUCCACGUGUAGCGGUGAAAUGCGUAGAGAUGUGGAGGAACACCAGUGGCGAAGGCGACUCUUUGGUCUGUAACUGACGCUGAGGAGCGAAAGCGUGGGGAGCGAACAGG